rnacentral:rRNA from 1 species
UGUUCUGGUUCUUACGCCAGUUAGUGGAUGGUUCGGUUUGAGAGCCGACGAAGGGCGUGCCAAGCUGCGAAAAUCUGCGGGAAGACGCAAGGACUCUAUGAUCCGCAGGUCCCCUAAUAGGACAUCCUGACUUUAGUCAAUCCGUAAGGAUAGGGAACCCCCCGAAGUGAAACAUCUCAGUAGGGGGAGGAAGAGAAAUCAAGAGAGAUUACGUUAGUAGAGGCGAUCGAACCCGUAACAGUCAAAACUGAAUCCCGAAAGGGACAUGUAGUGUAUGGCCUUCUUUCUGGAGUUAAUUGACGAUUGGAAGUAGCCUGGAAUGGCUUGCCUUAGAGAGUGACAGCCUCGUACAUCACCUCAAUUAACCCUUUGAAGUGUCCUGAGUAGCGUGGGUCGGAAUUCCCGCGUGAAUAUGGGUGUCACCUAACAUCCAAGACUAAAUACUCCUCAAAACCGAUAGCGAAUUAGUAGCGUGAGCGAAUACUGAAAAGCAUCCCUAAAAAGGAAGUUAAAAGUGCCUGAAACUAAC